AGCAGCCGCGGUAAUUCCAGCUCCAAUAGCGUAUAUUAAAGUUGUUGCAGUUAAAAAGCUCGUAGUUGAAUUUCGGGGUUAGUAGGUUGGUCAUGCCUCUGGUAUGUACUGGUCUCACUGAUUCCUCCUUCCUGAUGAACCGUAAUGCCAUUAAUUUGGUGUUGCGGGGAAUUUGGACUGUUACUUUGAAAAAAUUGAGUGUUUAAAGCAAGCUAACGCUUGAAUACAUUAGCAUGGAAUAAUGAAAUAGGACGUUCGAUCCUAUUUUGUUGGUUUCUAGGAUUGACGUAAUGAUUAAUAGGGAUAGUUGGGGGCAUUAGUAUUCAAUUGUCAGAGGUGAAAUUCUUGGAUUUAUUGAAGACUAACUACUGCGAAAGCAUUUGCCAAGGAUGUUUUCAUUAAUCAAGAACGAAAGUUAGGGAUCGAAGGCGAUCAGAUACCGUCGUAGUCUUAACCAUAAACUAUGCGACUAGGGAUCGGAUGGAUGUUAAUUUUUAAUGUACUNUAUUACGGCGCCGUU
rnacentral:rRNA from 1 species